rnacentral:misc_RNA from 1 species
CAAGAAACGAGGCCGCGUGCGCUCGCCCGCCCGGGCCCCCGCCCCCGCUCCUUACCUUGCCUACUGCACCGUUUGUUGCUUCCUGGCGGCGGACUGCCCGCCGCCAGGGACGUUGAUACAAUCCUGUAUAGAAGCAUUGAAGCUCUGAGAAAACGCGAAAUCGUA